UACGUAGGUGACAAGCGUUGUCCGGAUUUACUAGGCGUAAAGAGCGCGCAGGCGGUCGAUCAAGUCGAGUGUGAAAGCCCCCCGGCUCAACUGGGGAGGGUCACGCGAUACUGAUCGACUCGAAGGCAGGAGAGGGUAGUGGAAUUCCCGGUGUAGUGGUGAAAUGCGUAGAUAUCGGGAGGAACACCAGUGGCGAAGGCGACUACCUGGCCUGUUCUUGACGCUGAGGCGCGAAAGCUAGGGGAGCAAACGGGG
rnacentral:rRNA from 1 species